GGGCCGCGGCGCGGGAAGCCGUUUAGCGAGGCCAGCGCCCCGCGGAGCGGCGGCGGCGGCGCGGGGAGCCUUUUACCUCCCUUUCAGAGGGGCGCCGUCCUCUGCGGCCUAUGCGCUGCCCCGCGUCGUGCUUCGCGGCCGGGCGGGGAGGCCGCUCCGAGCUUGGCGGCUGGGCGGGGGGGGCAGGGCCCUCACGGCUGCCCUUGCCAAAUGGCUCCUCGCCGGAGGAGGAAGCUGCCGCCGCCGCGGGAAGGGGCGCGGCUGCCUCGAGAGACCCAACCAGGAAAAGAAUCUGAAUGGUCAGACUCUAUGUCAUGUCUUAUGAAGAAACUGGAGGAAUUGAAUUUAGAUAUUGAAGAAGCUCUGAGUGCUGGCUCUUCUCCCUCCAGUACUCCUUCUGCCAAAAGGCACAAGCUACUGUGCCCUGUUCAAGUGGAGACUGGCUUUUAUGGAGAUCAUCAAGGAAAGAGAUCUUGGAAAAAUAGAAGAGCAGGCUACCAGGAUCUAGAUUGUUCAUCUAGCCCAGUGUCAGCUGGAGCACGACCAAAAACUGAUGUGCUGCUUCAGAAGCUAUGCAAAGAAAAAGCAGCUGGCAUGCUAUGAGUCACCAAGGAUCAGCGCAAUAAGUGGAGUUAAAGAAACAGAUAACCAGAAUCCCACUUACGCUACACACCAGGAGCUAAGGAAAGGUUUGGAUAGACAGCUAUGUGCACAGAGGUCCUGAUUCUGCAACAUAUUUAACACGCGAUUAAACCUAUAUUUGGCAAGUCCAAUUCAUCGCAAUGGGAA
rnacentral:lncRNA from 1 species